AUUGAACGCUGGCGGCAUGCCUUACACAUGCAAGUCGAACGGCAGCACGGGGGCAACCCUGGUGGCGAGUGGCGAACGGGUGAGUAACAUAUCGGAACAUACCCUAGAGUGGGGGAUAACGUAGCGAAAGUUACGCUAAUACCGCAUACGAUCUAAGGAUGAAAGUGGGGGGAUCUUCGGACCUCAUGCUCAUGGAGUGGCCGAUAUCUGAUUAGCUAGUUGGUGAGGUAAAGGCUCACCAAGGCGACGAUCAGUAGCUGGUUUGAGAGAAUGACCAGCCACACUGGAACUGAGACACGGUCCAGACUCCUACGGGAGGCAGCAGUGGGGAAUUUUGGACAAUGGGGCAACCCUGAUCCAGCACUGCCGCGUGAGUGAAGAAGG
rnacentral:rRNA from 1 species